AUACGGAGGGAGCGAGCGUUAAUCGGAAUUACUGGGCGUAAAGCGCGCGUAGGCGGCUUUGUAAGUCGGAUGUGAAAGCCCUGGGCUCAACCUGGGAAUUGCAUUCGAUACUGCAGAGCUAGAGUAUGGUAGAGGGAAGUGGAAUUUCCGGUGUAGCGGUGAAAUGCGUAGAUAUCGGAAGGAACACCAGUGGCGAAGGCGACUUCCUGGGCUAAUACUGACACUGAGGUGCGAAAGCGUGGGGAGCAAACAGGAUUAGAAACCCCGGUAGUCC
rnacentral:rRNA from 1 species